CAUUUUUCAUUUCUGUUUGUUGCUUUGUGCUUUUUUCGCGGUUAUGUUUGUGCUGGUUGUUGAAGAUCAUCCGUUUGUUGUUGUUAUUUAUCAACGAUAACGGUUCAGAAAGAUGCAUGCCCGAUGUUUCGAAUGAAUUUGCGGGACUUCAACAAAAACUGGGUUCUGGAAGACUACCGUUUUAGAUACAACUUUACGAUCAAUAGCAUUUUAUGGGAACUGGAUACUGUGAGAGUAAACUGCAUCAAAACCCAUGGAGAAUUCAACUGCACACUUCCGUCUAACGACUGCGCUUUUGUCAUAUACGGGAUAGUUCAAGCUAAGGAAAGAUGCACGAGGAGUUCUUAUAGCAGAGAAAAUGGCGUUCCGACCAACGGGAACUUACUGUCAAAUUUUACGAAAUGGGGGGAUUUCACUACGAUGAAAAUGCAGUUGAAGAUGCAUUAUGAAGGUCGCAUUCCUUAUUUUAGCGUGCAAUGUCCUGUUCCAGGCUUCAAUGAUAGCGUCACGAUUGUUGCCCUUGUCUACCGUUGCACUCGAGCAGUGGAUGUUCUGGAUAUAUGACCGACUCUACCCUAACAUGUGAUUUGGAGGACAAUAGUAUGAACAGCGUUUUGGGAAAACUGGGCUUCAUGCAUGUGCCCAACGUGUCAUCCCAGAUUAGCCUGUACAGUUUACACACGAUAAUCAGGGACGACACUUUCCGUUUAAAUUUUGUUAGGAUGAUACUUCGUUUAAACGAAACAUUCCAUAAAAGCAGAGAGUGUCCGCCCUGAUUAGCGUUUGCGGACUGCAGGGGUUAGUCUGGGUGACACUGGACUGCAGGGGUUAGUCUGUGCGACACUAAACUGCAGGGGUUAGUCUGGGCGACACUUAAUGCACAUUCAAUAAACCCAGUUUUCACAGAAACAGGCUUAUAUUAUUAUUGUUUCGUGGACAGCUCUAAGUGUUUGCUCUUCUUUUGCUGGUAAAGUGAGUGUCUCUACUUCUAACCAUAUCGGCUGAACAUCAAGCCUCAUAUUUUUUGUCUGACUUCGCUACCAAAAUAAUGCGAACCUCCGAUAACUUACAACGUUCGUUAAAUUAUCGAGUGUGAUAUUUCACUUGCUUAACAACGGCUAAGAAAUAUUUUCUUUUAGUUUACUCAAAUACAAGACAAACCAUUCUACCGUUCAUAAAAAAUCUAUACAAUACAUUGAAUUCUAUAUGUACCUGCGUAUAUCAAGAUAAGUAAAUAUUUUAAUUU